rnacentral:rRNA from 1 species
AGUGAACGCUGGCGGUAGGCCUAACACAUGCAAGUCGAACGGCAGCACAGUAAGAGCUGGCUCUGACGGGUGGCGAGUGGCGGACGGGGGAGGAAUACAUCGGAAUCUACUUUUUCGUAGUGGAGAUCGUAGGGAAAAUGACGCUAAUACGGCAUGCGACCUACGGGUGAAAGCAGGGGAUCUUCGGACCUUGCGCGAUUGAGUGACGCGAUGUCGGAUUAGCUAGUUGGCGGGGGAAAGGCCCAACAAGGCGACGAUCCGUAGCUGGUCUGAGAGGAUGAUCAGCUACACUGGAACUGAGAAACGGUCCAGACUCCUACGGGAGGAAGCAGUGGGGAAUAUUGGACAAUGGGCGCAAGCCUGAUACAGCACUACCGCGUGGGUGAAGAAGGCCUUCGGGUUGUAAAGCCAUUUUGUUGGGAAAGAAAAGCAGCAGGUUAAUCCCCCGCUGUUCUGACGGUACCCAAAGAAUAAGCACCGGCUAACUUCGUG